AUUGAACGCUGGCGGCAGGCCUAACACAUGCAAGUCGAGCGGAGCGGCGGACGGGUGAGGAAUGCCUAGGAAUCUGCCUGGUAGUGGGGGAUAACGUCCGGAAACGGGCGCUAAUACCGCAUACGAUAAGAUGAGCCUAGGUCGGGUUAGCUAGUUGGUGGGGUAAAGGCCUACCAAGGCGAAGAUCCGUAACUGGUCUAGGUGGAUGAUAUGUCACACUGGAAUUGGAACACGUUCCAGACCCCUACGGGGGUCAGCAGUGGGAAUAUUGGACAAUGGGCGAAAGCCUGAUCCAGCCAUGCCGCGUGUGUGAAGAAGGUCUUCGGAUUGUAAAGCACUUUAAGUUGGGAGGCGUUACCAACAGAAUAAGCACCGGCUAACUUCGUGCCAGCAGCCGCGGUAAUAC
rnacentral:rRNA from 1 species